rnacentral:misc_RNA from 1 species
UGACGCAAGUCAGUGAGUUAGAUCUGCUCUCCUCGCAAGAGGAGGGUUUCCAUACACACCGUGAACUGUGGCUUCGGCCAUUACAAACUGUUAGUAAUGAAUGUAAUAUCAUAACAAAAACAAAACUUUUAACAACGGAUCUCUUGGCUCUCGCAUCGAUGAAGAACGCAGCGAAAUGCGAUAAGUAAUGUGAAUUGCAGAAUUCAGUGAAUCAUCGAAUCUUUGAACGCACCUUGCGCCCUUUGGUAUUCCGAAGGGCAUGCCUGUUUGAGUGUCAUGAAACCUCACUCCACUUGGGUUUUUGCCUGAGUGGUAGUGUAUUGGGUGUUGCCUUGCUAAAGGCUCGCCUUAAAGACAUAAGCACCUUGGAUGUAAUACGUUUCAUCCUUCUGGGUGGCUGAUAACCCCACAUAUUCAUGAU